rnacentral:rRNA from 1 species
UACGGGAGGGGGCAAGCGUUGUUCGGAAUUCCUGGGCGUAAAGGGCGCGUAGGCGGUGCUCUACGUCGGAUGUGAAAACUCUGGGCUCAACCCAGAGCCUGCAUCCGAAACUGGAGUGCUAGAGUUCUGGAGGGGGUAGCGGAAUUCCUGGUGUAGCGGUGAAAUGCGUAGAUAUCAGGAGGAACACCGGUGGCGAAGGCGGCUACCUGGACAGAAACUGACGCUGAGGCGCGAAAGCUAGGGGAGCAAACAGG